rnacentral:tRNA from 1 species
AGGAACUUAGGUUAAACUAAACCAGAGACCUUCAAAGUCCCCAAUAGGCCCACACAUAGUUCCUG